UACGUAGGGUGCAAGCGUUGUCCGGAAUUAUUGGGCGUAAAGAGCUCGUAGGCGGUCAGUCGCGUCUGCUGUGAAAACUCGGGGCUUAACCCCGGGCCUGCAGUGGGUACGGGCUGACUAGAGUGCGGUAGGGGAGACUGGAAUUCUCGGUGUAGCGGUGAAAUGCGUAGAUAUCGAGAGGAACACCUGCGGCGAAGGCGGGUUGCUGGGCCGACACUGACGCUGAUGCGCGAAAGCCAGGGGAGCGAACGGG
rnacentral:rRNA from 1 species